rnacentral:misc_RNA from 1 species
UUAAUGAGAACAGCAUAUUAUUUUUUCAUGCGAAACGUUUUUUAAAUACAAAAUCUUUUUUUACUGUUCCAUGUGCUUCGGAAGAGUUGGAUAUAUUUAUAAUUUUAAGCACAACUGCGGCAGAAACUAUAACAGUUCCACUCACCGAAAUCAAGAAAAAAUGUUUAAUAUUGAAAAAUACGGACCAACCUGAUUCUUAUAUUACAAUACCACUACUUCAUACUAACAAUUAGAUGCUCUGCAUUGUUAUUAAUUAGAAAGUAUUUGAACAAACCAAAAAAAAUAUGAUGAUGAAUAUUAAUCAUUGCAACGUGUUUCUUCGUCUUGAAUAAAUAAAUACUGAUAUACUUACAUACUUGGAAACGUGAAAAUAUUAUCCGCAUUCAAUAAAACAAACAUUUAUAAGAUUAUAUGGUAAAAUAAAGAUGGAUCGUUGCGAAACUGGAACAAGUAAGAAAUAUUCCGUUGUAAAGUUUCUUAUAGAUGACUCUUACUCCGAAAUACAUCAUGGUUUAUGCACGAUGGCAGUAAGCAGCUGUGCUUGUGGCCACCACGGACAGCAAAUGCCGCUAACUUUAUAGCCAAUUGCGUAAGUCCAUGUUUGGAAACUUGGAAUCAAUAUGAAGUUGAUGUUAUAAAAUCCUGUACAUCUCUAGAAUCGGCAAGAAGAAGUGCAGCUGACUCCAAUUAUCAAACAACCGAUGAAGACAGAUUGGGACGUGGCAAAAGGCUACAUAUAGAACCGAACCGAUAUAGCAGCGAAGAAGAGGAAAAAGAAAACAAUAUACUUCGACCAUAUAAGAAGAGAUCAAUUAAUACAAGAAAAAUAGUUUCUGCCAUUCCAUCAUUUCCGGGCGACUUAACAUGCAGUGAUAUAUAUAAUAUUAAUGAAGAUAUUAAUGUGAGGAAUAAUAAUAGAAACGACAUUUCAACGUCACAACGUCAUAAUGAACAAAUAAAAACCUAUGAAGCAUCCGACGAUGUACAAUCAUACGAUAAAUGGAAAGUUCUUCAUUGUGUGUUUCAUCGUCUGCAAAGGUACAAGAAGAUCCAAAUAUAAAAAGUCAUCAGAUCCUAUUAUACUCGUAUUAGAUAAUGUAUCAAUGAUUGAGAAUUGGAUUGAACAUUAUAUUUCGACGAACUUCGAUCUUGAAUAUUUAAAAGAAAUGUUACGUAUGCAAGCAACGUCGAAUUUAAUAUUAUAAGAUUUGAAACAACGAGUAAGCAGAACAGAAGAAGCAAUGACAACUUGCACUCCCGUUUUAAGGAACAGCGAUAAGAACAGUAUAAUUUUACCAUUACGAACAAUUGAAAGCAUACGAGACUUUGAAGCGUUAUUACACGAUACUGAUGAAGCAGUAAUACAAUU